rnacentral:rRNA from 1 species
AGCGAACGCUGGCGGCAGGCUUAACACAUGCAAGUCGAACGGGCACUUCGGUGCUAGUGGCAGACGGGUGAGUAACGCGUGGGAACGUGCCUUUCGGUUCGGAAUAAUCCAGGGAAACUUGGACUAAUACCGGAUACGCCCUUCGGGGGAAAGAUUUAUCGCCGAAAGAUCGGCCCGCGUCUGAUUAGCUAGUUGGUGAGGUAAAGGCUCACCAAGGCGACGAUCAGUAGCUGGUCUGAGAGGAUGAUCGGCCACAUUGGGACUGAGACACGGCCCAAACUCCUACGGGAGGCAGCAGUGGGGAAUAUUGGACAAUGGGCGCAAGCCUGAUCCAGCCAUGCCGCGUGAGUGAUGAAGGCCUUAGGGUUGUAAAGCUCUUUUGUCCGGGAAGAUAAUGACUGUACCGGAAGAAUAAGCCCCGGCUAACUUCGUGCCAGCAGCCGCAGUAACAC